GUGGGUGUAGCUCAGUGGUUUAGAGCGUCCCCCUGUGAAGGGGAAGGCCGGGGGUUCAAAUCCCCUCACCCACC
rnacentral:tRNA from 1 species